rnacentral:lncRNA from 1 species
GGAAACAUCCAAACUGCAUCGACUCUGGACUGGAUAAAACACUGAAGACCAGCACCAGAGGAUUACAUGGCACCCCAAAUUCUGCGCCUCUCUGAUCCUCCUUUAGGCUCUAGGAUUUUGAUUUCCAAAUGAGGUGCUAAAUUGAUUUUUAUCAGGACUGCUGAGCAAUCAUCCAGUUUUUUUUCUUCUAAGCCCAGGUAAGACUCAGAGGACUCUGGUUCAGGAGUGUCGACAGUAGGAACACAGCACACGUCAAUCUAAAUGUUUGGCAAACCUCUCAAAAAGUCCUAAAAUAUUUCACUUUGUGUGUGAUGAAUAAUUAAUAGAUGGAAGUUUCAGUUUUUCAAUUACUUAAUGGAAAGAAAUGAACUUUUUCAGGACAUUCUUGCUUCACCUAUAAAUUAUUUGUUUACUGAUGAAUAUCUGGAUCGCUGACUUUUCAACCGUUUUUAAUGUUUACGCUCCUGUUAACUUGCAGUAAUUUUGAACAGAAUUAAGUUAACAGCUUUCAUAAUUUGUUCUUUAUAGUGUAUUUGCAAGAGGGGAAAAAAGUGACGUUUUUUCAAUAAACCUUGAGCAUAUACAGUUGUAUGCAAAAGUUUGUGCACCUCCUUUUAAAAACUGCAUAUUUUAUAUAUUAUAAAAUUAAUAUUUAUACUUCAGUCUCUGGUAUUUUUUUAAAGACAUUAUUAUCAGGAACAUUAAUAUAUAGUUACGUGUUAUAUCAUAAAUUGAACAAAAAUACAAAAAUAAAACUCAUUAUUUUCACAUAUGCAAAAGUUUGAGAACUCUACACGGUCAGUGCCCUUUGGCAGAUUUCACAGCUCGCAAACACUUUUAUGGCCAACAACUACAAGUCUCUCGAUUGUCCUCUUUGGGAUUUUCCCCCGUUCUUCCUCGCCAAAGGCUUCCAGCUCUGCGAUAUUCUUGGGUCGUCCUACAUGCACAGCCCUUUUUAAGAUCUACCCACAGACUCUCAAUGAUGCUAAAGUCUAGAGACUGUGAAGGCCAUUAAAAAACCCUCAGCUUCCUUUCGUUUCCUGAGGUAGUCCAUGGUGGAUUUUGAUGUGUGCUUAGGAUCAUUAUCCUGUUGUAGAAGCCAUCCUCUUUUUAGCUUCAGCUUUUUUUUUUUUUUUUUUUUGCACAGAUGCUGUAAUGUUUGCCUCGGGGAUUUGCUGGUAUUUAGUGGAAUCAAAUCUUCAUUCCACCUGAGCAAUACUUCCCGUCCCACUGGCUGCAACACAACCGCAAAGCAGGAUUGAUCCACCCUCAUAUUCAACAGCUGGCAAUACUUCUUUUUUCUCCACACAUACUUUUGCCUAUUGUGGCCAAAGAGUCCUAUUUUCACUUCAUCACACUGUAGUUUAUGAUGAAGACACAGGUUAAAGGUUUCCUUCUGCAGACUCUGCCAUGAAGGUCUUGUCUGUGCAAGUAUAGCUACAUAGUGGAAGGGUGUACCACCGCUCCUGAGUCUGCUCAAUCUUGCUCCAGGUCUUUUGCUGUCAAAUGUGAGUUUUCAUUUUCCUUUCCAGACGUUCUCUCAGACAGUUCUCUCCUUCUUGACCUCCACAGUUCCCCUCAACUGCCAUCUCUUAAUUAUAUAUUGCACUGUGGAAGCUACAAGCUGAUAACGCUUUGCUAUCUUUUUGUAGCCUUCUCCUGCAUUGCGGGCAUCAAUAUAACCUUUAUUACAGCUGUCAAGAGGAACCCAUAGUUGUUAAAUGUUUCCACAGGUUUGUUGAGUCAGAGAGUAUUUAAAAAAACUCUGAAAUUGGCAUCAGUUGGCGCUCCCUAAUGACAAUUGUUGACACAUGCUUCAGGCCAAACGAGCUGAUAAAGGUCUGAGCUUGUAAAACGAAUCUGACACUUCUAAACUCUCACAGCUCACUUUUUUGCAAAUGCAGAAAUGAUCCUACUGAGCCAUAGACGACUAUUAGACAUCUAGUUUUUUUUUUAAGACCAAAUUUUAACUGUCUAGAUUCUGUAUAUUUUUGGAAGGAAUUUAGACGUUGCACUUUAACCCAUUAUUUCAAAAAGAAACUGUGAGUUGCAUAACUGAUCUCCAAGUACUUAACCAAAAUAAUUAUGAUAGCGGUUGAGCAAUAUACAGUGUAGUAUAGAUAUAGUCGGCUAGUCUAAACUUCGUCCAAAUUUACACCCCUAAAAACCUUACAUUUUUAGACCUGUGGUAGCCUGAUUUUAGACCAGUCGUCUAGGCUACAUUUAGACGUCUAUUAGACCUCUUUUAGACCAAAAAAUGCUCUGUGGGACGUUUUUAUUUUUCUAUUUUUGUUCAAUUUAUGAAAUAAAAAGUAACUAUGCAUUAAUGUUUCCUGAAAUAUAUAUAUUUUUUAAAUACCAGAGAGACUAUAGAUAUAAAUUGUAUAAUACAUACAAUUUUCAGCUCCUUCCCGCGCGACAAGGACAAGACGAAACAUAACUCCUCAAAAGUGAAUUUUUAAGAGGUGCACAAACUUUUGCAAACAAAUGUAAAUCUAUGUGUUUAUCAUACACUCUGACUCUUACAGACUUAUAUCUUUGACCUGGUUUUUCCAGAAGAGUUAAGACCUAAGCUCAAAGAUCUCAAACUAGGCAAAGGUUCGUAAGGGAUUAAAAGGUCUAAAAUAUAAUCUGGACUUGGGUCAUGAAGGGUCAUAUAGGUAAUCAAUGGGCUCUUACAAUCAAUCCUUAAACUAACAGGGGGCCGGUUUAAAGAGGCUUAAAAAGAGUGAUACGAUGGUACCAUGUGGCCCUGAUAGUUUAGAGAUCUUAGUGAAGGUGGAGGAGGAGGAAAAGCAAGAAGAUCAGUUUCUGCAUCUCAAAUGUGAAAAAGGAAACAGACCGUGGGCGAAGAGAGUGAGUCUGCAUUUGCACUGAACAGAGUGAAGGUGAGCACUUGAUGUUAACAGGUUGAAUGUCACUUUAGCUUCAAAUGUGAGCAUGCAAGUAUUUGAAAAUGGCGCAAAAUACGAGGCAAACCAACUCCAGCAUUUUAACCAAUAUAUGCAGAGCUGCCUCAGGGAAAAGGAAGUAAAACUGAUUUUUAAAAAGGAAGUUGAAGCUCUGUGAUGAAGAUUAGUGAGGAGGAAUCAAGACGUUUAGAUGCAAGUAUUUGAAAAUACUUAAGAGCUAAUCAAAAAUCAAUUCCUUAUGAGCAGGUAGCCGAUGGACAGACUUUAAAAUGGGUUUAUUGGGGUUUCUCUAUUUCUGGAUUUUUGUCAGGGAGACCAGAAAUUAAAUUACACAAACUCCUGCUUCUGACCAUCAGUGUAAACACCAGCUGCUGUAACCAGGCUGAUCCAGCAGGUGGUACCAAAGAUCCAGAGUUGACCCUGAUCGUGAAGCUGUUUUUCUCAGACAAAGAGACUGCACACAUCUCCAGAGCAUCAAAGUGGAUCCUUCUUAUGUCACACCAAGGCCGCUCGACCUGUUUUAUUGAUCGUAUGAACAGACGGUCGUUUGUUUAUCUCCAUUCAGAAAAGACUGAAUUACAUCAGCUGAGUCUUUGAUAUCUGAGAUCCUGAAUGAGACCUGCUCCUCUCUCUGUCCUGCAGCCGAAAUCUUCUCCACUUUCUGCUGACAAAGGCUUCUGUCUCUCUGCUAUGUGUGUGUGUGUGUGUGUGUGUUUGAAGUUGACACUAAAUGGGGAACAAUGAGUCAUUUCAUUGUCGAGGAAUGAUGUCAUCUUCCUCCUGCAGCCGGCAGGUAUUGUGUACGAGCCGCUGCCUGUCCUCACUGAACCGGUGGGAAGGAGGAAGACGGCGUUUGGCUGCCAGCUUUGUCCUCCUCGCUCUUUGUUCUCAGAGGGACGUCUUAGUUUGACCCCGUCUGUUUGUGUGUUGGUGUUGAACAGGUGCAGAGCAGCCCCUGUAUCUUCAUCUGGUUUGAUUUUAUGCAUGCUGGUCUGUGGUAACCUCACAGGCCGUGUAGAGAGAGGUCAGAAGUUGCGGGUUCAAAAAGGGAACCCACUGUGAAGGCCUUUUCAACUUGUUAGUUCUGGACUAUUAAAAUACAUGUAAAGAUGAACCAUCAUACUUAGAUAAUUCAAGCAGGGAUCGAUUUGUCUUCCAGGUAUAUCCUUCAGUCAGACUCAAACUGGCCUUAACAGUCUGUGCAUGCUCCUUACAUUGCACAUGAGGGUUUGACCUUGACGUUUCACAGCACAGAUGCAUUAAAGGAAACCAGGUAGUGAACAAAACCUUACCGGAAAAUCAACGCUGCUAAGGCACACUUGUUUUCACAGAAAUGGGAAAUGGUUUGAUCCAAGGACAUGAUGUUUGACAGCUCUCAUUAAAGGGAUAUUCCAGUGUAAAAUCAAUUUAUGGUUAAACACACCAUAACACCGAGGU